CUGGCUCAGAACGAACGCUGGCGGCAUGGAUUAGGCAUGCAAGUCGAACGGGAGCAGCAAUGCUCCAGUGGCGCAAGGGUGAGGAACACGUGAACAACCUGCCUUCGAGUUGGGGAUAGCUUCUGGAAACGGGAGAUAAUACCGAAUAACAUCACCGGAUCGCAUGAUCUGGUGAUCAAAGCAGCAAUGCGCUUGAAGAGGGGUUCGCGUCCCAUUAGCUAGUUGGUGAGGUAACGGCCCACCAAGGCGAUGAUGGGUAGCUGGUCUGAGAGGACGAUCAGCCACAUUGGGACUGAGAUACUGCCCAGACUCCUACGGGAGGCUGCAGUCGAGAAUUUUGGGCAAUGGACGAAAGUCUGACCCAGCCAAUGCCGCGUGCGGGAUGAAGGUCUUCGGAUUGUAAACCGCUGUCAAGAGGGACGAAACAUGACGGUACCUCUGGAGGAAGCCACGGCUAACUACGUGCCAGCCGCAGC
rnacentral:rRNA from 1 species